AACGCUGGCGGCGUGCCUAAUACAUGCAAGUCGAACGGUCUUUUCUAUGGAAGCUUGCUUCCACUGAGAAGAUAGUGGCGAACGGGUGAGUAACACGUGGGUAACCUGCCCAUAAGAGGGGGAUAACAUCCGGAAACGGGUGCUAAUACCGCAUAGUUUUCUUGAUCGCAUGAUUGAGAAAGGAAAGACGGCCUUUGUGCUGUCGCUUAUGGAUGGACCCGCGGCGUAUUAGUUAGUUGGUGAGGUAACGGCUCACCAAGACGAUGAUACGUAGCCGACCUGAGAGGGUGAUCGGCCACAUUGGGACUGAGACACGGCCCAAACUCCUACGGGAGGCAGCAGUAGGGAAUCUUCCGCAAUGGACGAAAGUCUGACGGAGCAACGCCGCGUGAGUGAAGAAGGUUUUCGGAUCGUAAAACUCUGUUGUCAGAGAAGAACAAGUUGGAGAGUAACUGCUCCAGCCUUGACGGUAUCUGACCAGAAAGCCACGGCUAACU
rnacentral:rRNA from 1 species